rnacentral:rRNA from 1 species
UACAGAGGGGGCAAGCGUUGUUCGGAAUUACUGGGCGUAAAGCGUGCGCAGGCGGCUUUGCAAGACAGAUGUGAAAUCCCCGGGCUUAACCUGGGAACUGCAUUUGUGACUGCACGGCUGGAGUGCGGCAGAGGGGGAUGGAAUUCCGCGUGUAGCAGUGAAAUGCGUAGAUAUGCGGAGGAACACCGGUGGCGAAGGCAAUCCCCUGGGCCUGCACUGACGCUCAUGCACGAAAGCGUGGGGAGCAAACAGG